CAGCAGAGCUACCUUGCAAUUAACAUGUGCCUACACUAUCGAACAGAUAUCUUUUUCAAUAAGACAUAUGGUAUUGACCUAAACCAGGAGCUGAAGCUAAGAAAACUGGGCCUAGUCACAAAUCCGUCCAAAUGGUGGUUGUGGUUUACGAAGGAAAACAACAAAAAUGUACUUACUGAAAAGCGGAUGGAAUCCGUCUAUCCCAUGGCUUCGGAGGAGGCUGGGGUGCCAUCCUUUAAAAUGUCUAACAAUACCAGCUGUAUCAAUGUUUUCUCCAGUUUGUAACAAGAUUGGAUUCUGACCAGGGUGAUACUCAAUUAUAUCAGACCUUACCAGUAGACGACGGAUAAAUCGAACAUAAAGUUCUUAACUAUUUGCUGUAGAAACAACUAAGUAUUCAUUUUUUUUCAGAAAGAAACAAGGUAGAAAAACAAUGUUGCCAAUUUUGUAUGUAAAUAGUAUGUUGUUGUAUCAUUUAUCGUUAACGUAUCUUAAAUCAAUUGGGUCUACGAUAAAAAAAAAUACAUGAUGAUACAUGUUGUAUGAUCGGCUGUACAGAGACUAUUUUGACAAGUACUGUUUGAUUAAAUUUCAGCAAUACAGCACACAGUGAUGCACCUACAAACGUAUUUGGAUGCAUUGCAGGAGUUUAUUAUUUCAAAGAUGAGAGUGUAUCAGUCAAUUUAUCAGAAAAGGCAUGCGUGUGUGUUGAUUUAAAUGUAAUGAAUCGAUUCUUCUGAGUAAGAUUAAUCACGUCUAGAAAGAGGUCCGCUUUAGUUUACUUCUGGUUGAAGUACUGUUCUGAAUCAAGUUUCAGGAGAGCAAUUCAACUCCACCUGGUUAUUUACUCUGCUGUAUCUUUUGUCUAACUGUGGGAUUAUAUUUUCUUCUUGAGAAGAAAUUGAUUUUCUUUGCAUUGAAACACCCUCUUACCUUGCUUGUCUCCUCGCGGUUUGCACAAGUUUUUACUAAGUAGCUGUCAGGAAUGUGUCUACCUACGCCGACGGGUUUUAUCACGGUUAAAAAUAUUAAAUUACAGUAUAUAAAAAUGACAAUCAGUGGGUAAUACAAAUUGCAUUGUAAAGUAUUUAAAAAACAUAAUCUGUAUGUAUAUUGCUGGCUCUCACUCUUUAUAACGCACAAUAUAAGCCCAUGGAUUUCACUGUGAACUAAAGUGUCUUUACUGGCUGACCCACUAAAACUAGACGAGAUACUGUAGAGUAUGUGCUGCUGUGUAAAUAGGUUCGGAAAUAAUUGAAGCAAACAUGUUUUUAUCAGGUUGUAUUUACAAAACGUAAAUAUUCAGUACACCCAUCUGAAAUCAGAAAUGUACAUGUUUCUUUAUAGAGUCAUUAAAUAUUUUUUUUUGCCCCAGAAUUUUCUAAGGAGGUCCAGACACCUUCCAAGAAUCUGUUGUGUAGGUCCGUUUAAUAACUUGGUUAAAUGGUACCGGAAUUAUUAUUAUUAUAAUUAUUAUUAUUAUUAUUAUUAUUAUUUUAAUAACUACAUCUUUUGCAAACAGCAUGGGCCAUAGUACACUACCCCGCUUUAAUAACUUGUUUGUUUGAAAGGAGAAAACAAACUUUUCUGCUAAUUACUUCAUAUUUCUCAGGAUCUAGCAAAAGAACUGAUAUAUUUUGCUAGAGUAGGAGAAUGAUCCCCCAUGCAAAAAAGGGGGAAACAGUGUGGAGUAGUGGUUAGGGCUCUGGACUCUUGACCGGUUGGUCGUUGGUUCAAUCCCAGGUGGGGGACACUGCUGCUGUACCCUUGAGCAAGGUACUUUACCUACAUUGCUCCAGUAAAAACCCAACUGUAUAAAUGGGUAAUUGUAUGUAAAAAUAAUGUGAUAUCUUGUAACAAUUGUAAGUCGCCCUGGAUAAGGGCGUCUGCUAAGAAAUAAAUAAUAAUAAUAAAAAAUGAAACUAUGGGACACUUGCGAAUCAUGUGUGACAUAUGCCACCGUUGCCAUCUUCACACAAACUGCAACCAUGGCAACAGGCGUGAGGAGGUAACGAUUGAAACAGGGCUCAUUGAGAAAACCACGAAAAUAUAAAGGAAUCAAUGCUGGAUAUGUUUUUGAAGAGAAAGGGCACGUAUUCAGCAUAUGUCCCGUGUAGCUGAAUCUGCAAAGUAUCAGUUCAGCAGCCUUGUGAUUUCAGUAUCCCUUCCAGCACAGAUGUUGAUGAGAGAGCACAGAAUCCAGAUUGAGCUGCUGCAGCCUGCAGCUUUGCAGUUUUAUGAUCGAAAUGUUUCUGCUGAAGCGCUGUGGCUAUUUUCAAGAUGAAAUCUCUCCUACUGAUAUUUUCCCUGGUACAGUCCUUGUACAAAACGAAGGAACUGAUGGCUGCCAGGUCCAGUAGAGAUAACAACAGGCUUGUAUACUGUAUAUAAAAGAAAUGUAAUAUUGUAGGUUAUAUUCAAAAUAAAAACAUGUAGCCUAAAAGGGGGUUCUAGUGUUAAUGAAAUGUAACUUUUAGAUGUUCCACAAACACAAACACACACACACAUAUAAAUUCUAUGUAGUAAAACUUGUACUUAGUAGAAAUUAUAUUUUAUAUAUUUUUUUGUGUAUGUGUGUGUGUGUGUGUUGGAAAGGUAACCAGACAAACAAGUAGCUAAUGUGCGGCGUAAUUCAGAAUGUGAGCGACAACACGUGAAUUCAUUUCUCUUGUUAAAUGUUUUUAUCUUCAUGGCAACACAUGAAGCUCUCCUCACGAUAUUCAGAGUCGUUCUUUUCCUACUCAGUAAGCAGACACAGACAUUUAAAUAUCCCCUCCCCUAAAUGACUAUGAAUGGAGUAUUCUGCAUUGGUACGGACGAUUAUUUUUCCUAAAUCAGAACUGCAUAGCAACACAUUUCCUGAAAAGUACGGCAAACACGU